GACGAACGCUGGCGGCGUGCUUAACACAUGCAAGUCGAACGGAAAGGCCCUGCUUUUGUGGGGUGCUCGAUUGGCGAACGGGGGAGUAACACGUGAGUAACCUGCCCUUGACUUUGGGGUAUCUUCACGAAACUGGGGCUAAUACCGGAGAGGAUCUCUUGCUCCAUGUUGGGGGUUGGUAAGUUUCGGCGGUUGGGGAUGGACUCGCGGCUUAUCAGCUUGUUUGGGGGGUAGGGGCUUACCAGGGUUUUGAGGGGUAGCCGGCCUGGGAGGGUGAACAGACCCCUUGGGACUGGGGGACGGCACAGACUCCUAUGGGAGGCAGUAGUGGGGAGCAUUGCACAACGAGAGGAAGCGUGAUGUAGAAACGCCGUGUGCGGGAAGACGGGCUUCGGGUUGAAAACCGAUUUCGAAUGUGACGAAGCGUGAGUGACGGUAAUGGGUAAAGAAGCACCGGCUAACUACGUG
rnacentral:rRNA from 1 species